rnacentral:misc_RNA from 1 species
GAUGGAGAACGUAGCGAAAUGCGAUAAGUAAUGUGAAUUGCAGAAUUCAGUGAAUCAUCGAAUCUUUGAACGCACAUUGCGCCCCUUGGUAUUCCGAGGGGCAUGCCUGUUCGAGCGUCAUUAUAACCCCUCAAGCUCAGCUUGGUGUUGGGGCCUGCCGCACGGGCAGCCCUUAAAAUCAGUGGCGGUGCCAUCUGGCUCUAAGCGUAGUAAUUCUUCUCGCUAUAGAGUCCCGGUGGAUGCUUGCCAUUAACCCCCAAUUUUCUAUGGUUGACCUCGGAUCAGGUAGGGAUACCCGCUGAACUUAAGCAUAUCAAUAAGCGGAGGA